UGUACAGUUUUUGAAAAAUCAACUCAUCCUCUUUUUUUUCAACUUCCAUUUUGAUAAUAUGCUUCCUAAGUUCAGAAGCCAUCACCUGUUUUUUUUUUCAUGAGAGGGGCGAGAUAGGAAGGAAUAGGCAGUGUAGAGCUAUCAAUCAUGGUCCCAGUAUCUUCGAUACCGAGGACCGUAGCCACCUCGUGGCUGUAGAAGUGCAUUGUUGUGGAUGGAUUGAAAACAAAGCUUGUACCAUCAAAAACCUCACAAAGUUCCAGCGCAAGAGACCCAUACUAGUAGAAAAACAUAAAUGAGCACCGCAAAAUGCGCACCGAUUUUUAAAACCAGUGCGAAAAAAAAAUAGGCGGGAUUGAGAAAAAGAGUAAUUUCACCAGUUCAAACAAAACCGGUGCGAAAAUGAGUUAAUCGCACUGGUUCGAACCGGUGAGAAUGUUAAUAUUAAAAAAAAAGCCGGUCUUUUAUCUUCUUUCUUUCUCUUUCUGUCUUCUUUCUAAAUUUCUCUUUCCUCGAUCUCUCCUCCUCUCUCAUCUGCAUCUCUCUCAUCUACAACAAUGGAGGCUCUUUCCUCAGACUCCUUCUCUCUCCUUCGAUCUCCUUCUCCAUAACCAGCGCUUUCCCUUUCCUUUUCUCUCUCCUUUGAUCUCCUUCUCCAUAACUGCGCCGCAAGCAUCGCUGCUCUCUUCUCCUUCUCAGUCCGAAAUCGGCGUCAUUAGAACCAAGCACAACCACCAUCGCCGCCGCCGUCAAUUUGAACCAAAUACAACAACAAACUUGAAUCAAUUAUCGAUUCAAAAUCCACAAAUUCGAGGAAGAGAAUGUUUGCUGGGAGUAGUAGCAACAAUAGUGCGUCGUUCAAAGACCCUAAUGUAAUUGAAAUUCCGCGUCCUACUACUUGGAAAUCGAAGCCAAGAAAGCAAAAUUCAGUGAAAUUCUUGAACUAUUUUGUUUUAAAAUCUUGUUAAUUUGAAUUGAAUUAUGUGGGUUGUUUAAUUUUUAUCUGAUUUUUUCUGGGUUUGAGUUGGGUGAUUGGGAUUGUUAUUUUAUCAAUGUAGAAAUUGAUACUGUGGUUCGAGGAGGUUUUAUUUUAAUCAUACAUUUACUUCAAAGAAUUCCAUUUAUUUUAUGGCCUUCAGUAUUAAAUAAACUUAAAUGAUAGUAAUCGACACGUGAUUUUGUCAUGAAUACUGUAAUUUAUACAAGUAUCAUAUUAAGAAAUGCAUUAAUGCUUUUAUUUUGGUCCUUAAAUUCUGCAGUAUUGCAAUGCUCUCUAUUUCUAUCUUUUAAAAAUGCUUUUCUUAAUUUUACCUAACAUUUGGAUUUUUUAAAAUGGUUUUUCAUGCUGACAUGCAUGUAAGAUAGAAAAUUUUGGCACUUCUGGAUUCAUGGCAAGAAGCAUUUGGUGGUCUUGGUGGAAAUUAUGGUCUUGUGAUGAACUGAGGUGAAUCAAGAGUCUUCUACUUGAAGAUGAAGGGAGAUUAUAUCAUUGUUAUAUGGCUUACUGUAAAUCUGGUGAUGGAAGGAAACUGCUGCUGAAGAUACUAUGAAUUCUUACAAAGCUUCUCAUCAGUACAAAGUAGGAGUAAAUUCUGAGACAUAACUGAAGUACUGCCGCUGCAAGUUUAUCAUUUUUGACAAUCAGGAUUUGUGGGUUUCAACGUUUCAUAUGCGCUUAGGUUAGAUCUUGGAUGGAAGAAUCAUAUCCAGACAUUAAUAGUCGUAUAAUUUCUUACAUUAUUGGACUUGAUAGCUUGAAAGCAGUCUGCAAUGAAAGUAUUACCUCAAUAGCGGCUGGAUGCCAAGACAUAAGGCUACGCAUGGAUGGACUAUUUGAGGUUAAGGAGCAUGCAAUCAAAUUUGUGAGAGAAUUCACUGCUUUAUAUACAAAUGGGUGAAUUUUUAACUAUUUACUUUUUGUAUUUCAUGUUUGUUCUAUGGUAUAACAAGUGGCUCACAUUUGUAGGCUCAGCCUCAGAGCACAACCUCUACGCUAUGGUAUAACAAGUGGCUCACAUUUGUAGGCUCAGCCUCAGAGCACAACUUCUAUGGUAUAACAAGUGGCUCACAUUUUAUCAA